rnacentral:rRNA from 1 species
UACGGGGGGGGCAAGCGUUGUUCGGAAUUACUGGGCGUAAAGGGCGCGUAGGCGGCCAAGUAAGUCAGAUGUGAAAUCCCUCGGCUUAACCGGGGAACUGCGUCUGAUACUGGAUGGCUUGAGUUUGGGAGAGGGAUGCGGAAUUCCAGGUGUAGCGGUGAAAUGCGUAGAUAUCUGGAGGAACACCGGUGGCGAAGGCGGCAUCCUGGACCAACACUGAAGCUGAGUGAGCGAAAGCCAGGGGAGCAAACGGG